UACGUAGGGGGCAAGCGUUGUCCGGAAUUAUUGGGCGUAAAGCGCGCGCAGGCGGUCUUUUAAGUCUGAUGUGAAAGCCCACGGCUUAACCGUGGAGGGUCAUUGGAAACUGGAGGACUUGAGUGCAGAAGAGGAGAGUGGAAUUCCAUGUGUAGCGGUGAAAUGCGUAGAGAUAUGGAGGAACACCAGUGGCGAAGGCGACUCUCUGGUCUGCAACUGACGCUGAGGCGCGAAAGCGUGGGUAGCGAACAGG
rnacentral:rRNA from 2 species